GGGAGCUUGCUCCCUGAUGUUAGCGGCGGACGGGUGAGUAACACGUGGGUAACCUGCCUGUAAGACUGGGAUAACUCCGGGAAACCGGGGCUAAUACCGGAUGCUUGUUUGAACCGCAUGGUUCAAACAUAAAAGGUGGCUUCGGCUACCACUUACAGAUGGACCCGCGGCGCAUUAGCUAGUUGGUGAGGUAAUGGCUCACCAAGGCAACGAUGCGUAGCCGACCUGAGAGGGUGAUCGGCCACACUGGGACUGAGACACGGCCCAGACUCCUACGGGAGGCAGCAGUAGGGAAUCUUCCGCAAUGGACGAAAGUCUGACGGAGCAACGCCGCGUGAGUGAUGAAGGUUUUCGGAUCGUAAAGCUCUGUUGUUAGGGAAGAACAAGUGCCGUUCAAAUAGGGCGGCACCUUGACGGUACCUAACCAGAAAGCCACGGCUAACUACGUGCCAGCAGCCGCGGUAAUACGUAGGUGGCAAGCGUUGUCCGGAAUUAUUGGGCGUAAAGGGCUCGCAGGCGGUUUCUUAAGUCUGAUGUGAAAGCCCCCGGCUCAACCGGGGAGGGUCAUUGGAAACUGGGGAACUUGAGUGCAGAAGAGGAGAGUGGAAUUCCACGUGUAGCGGUGAAAUGCGUAGAGAUGUGGAGGAACACCAGUGGCGAAGGCGACUCUCUGGUCUGU
rnacentral:rRNA from 1 species